ensembl:snRNA U6 U6 spliceosomal RNA
UUUCUCACUUUGGUAGCAUAUAUACUAAAAAUAAGAAUGACACAGAGGAGAUUAGCAUACCCCCUGUCCAGAGAUGACAUGAAAUCUAUCAAGUGGUACAUACAUUUUUC